AAGCAUAAGGCUUACCGCAUUGAAUCGCCCCUAACGAAGUUAUUCUCAUAUAAGAAACGGCUCUUCCCGACAUCUGCAACGCUGGGGACGCUAGAAACAACUAUUACAAGUGGCUGUUGAAGUCUUUGUAAGUUGCCGAGGCAUAUCUCGGUCGACUCAACUCCACUCAGUCCGAUCCAUGGCGUCUCUUCACCCCACGAUAUCUCCUCAAAGCCUCCUUUCUUUAACAAAGCCACGAAAACCCAUUUCGAGGCACCUCUCAGCUUCCUCAUUAACCACCUCAAAACUGCCCGAGGGCCUUGCUUUCUCGGGAACCAAACAGAAAAACAAAAGGGCAAACUCGGUGGUGGCGGUGAAGUCAUUAGCCGAGGAGCUUGACGUGAUACCAGUUCAAAGUGAGGAUGUUACAGAUAUGCAAGAAGGAGUUGCGGUGAGUCAGGUGCCGAGAGAAUCGCCAGGAGGAGAGUUAGUGACUCAAGUAGGUGGGUUUAGCAAUGAAGGAAUGUUAUCUUUUGAAGGGGUUUCUUCUUCAGGUUCACCUUCAGGGAACGGAUUUGGUGAUGGACAAGGAAGUCAAGAGGAAUUGGAUAGGCUUAUAGAUAGAACUAUUAAUGCUACUAUUGUUCUUGCUGCUGGUACUUAUGCCAUCACCAAGUUGCUUACCAUUGAUCAGAAUUAUUGGCAGGGAUGGACUAUUUAUGAGAUAGUAAGAUAUGCACCUCAACACAAUUGGAGUGCUUAUGAAGAAGCUUUGAGGACAAACCCUGUUUUAGCGAAAAUGGUUAUCAGUGGAAUCGUCUAUUCUAUAGGGGAUUGGAUCGCUCAAUGCUUUGAAGGUAAACCUCUCUUUGAGUUUGAUCGUAUGCGGAUGUUCAGAUCUGGCCUUGUUGGCUUUACUCUACACGGUUCCUUGUCUCAUUACUAUUACCAAUUCUGUGAGGAGCUUUUUCCUUUCCAAGACUGGUGGGUGGUUCCUGUGAAAGUAGCUUUCGACCAAACUGCAUGGGCUGCAGUUUGGAACAGCAUUUACUUUGUGGUUUUGGGAUUUCUGCGUCUUGAAUCUCCGAUCAGUAUUUUUAACGAAUGGAAGGCAACAUUCUUGCCUAUGUUGACAGCCGGAUGGAAACUUUGGCCAUUUGCUCAUCUUAUCACUUAUGGUUUUAUUCCGGUAGAACAAAGGCUUCUUUGGGUGGACUGCGUAGAACUUAUUUGGGUGACGAUUCUCUCAACUUAUUCGAAUGAAAAAUCGGAAGCAAGAAUCUCCGAGGCAGCACCAGCAGAAGCAAGUUCAAUUUUGCCACCCGUUGGUCCACCCGAGCUGGAGUAAAUAAUGAGAUUUAGGAUAUCUGGGAUUUGAGACAUGGCAGUGGAAUUAACCCUCAUUUGCUUCGAUCAAACGAGGCUUGACAGGCCGGUCACCGGAAAAUAUCGCAAAAACAAGGGGAAAUUACAUGCGUAUGCUACGUAAAUGCCGUCUUUUGUUUGUAUGUACAAAAAUUAUACUUUUGGAGACAUUGUGAUCACUAAUUGUGGAAAUUAUCAUGGUUUCCAUCACAAGAAAUUUAAUGGUGGAUUGGUAGGCCAAAUCAAAUGGCAUUAGGCACCACAAGUAAGUACCGGUGAGGUUUAAUUGCCACUUAUUUUCCCUGUUUAAUUUUGUUGUUUGACAAGGAAUCUGCAAAUGGAGGAACCUUCUCCUGAGGAGCUGCAAUGUAUAUCUCCUAUCUUACAUUGGGAACUUCUGAGGAUUCAUCACCAUGUUGAUUAUAGGCAUAAGGACUUUUUUGACUCUUCAACUUUACAAAAAAGAGAAAAAAUCAUUUUUGCUUUCCAUUUAAUUUUUCGUUCUUUUAGCUUUUGAAUUUGCAGUGUUUGUCAAAUUACCCCAAAAUAGAUAGAAAAAGUAACCAUUGUUAUCCACGUGUAUGACAAAUAUUAAAUUUUCUAUUUACUUUAGGGUGGUUUGAUGACAAACAA